rnacentral:lncRNA from 1 species
CACUUAACCUCUGUUUGCUUUAAUCCACCGGAAAAGGAAAUGGCCAACCCCAACAGCAUUUUCGCCAGGAAAAUUCCUUGGAGAUAAUAUGGUCCUCCGGGUCAUGAAGAAUCAGAUGCGACUGAGCAACACCAACACAUUUGCACUGCUCUUUUGCAUAACUAACAUUUGAUGACCAGACUCAAAGUCCACCUUAAAGAGAGAAGAGCAAGAUUCCAGGGAUAACUGUUACACCUGACUUCAAGCUUAUGUAAAUGGCCUAACUGGGGCAGCACAUAUACCCUACAGACUCUAAAGGCGGGGAGUUUGGAAAUUGAGCAAUGUUUGAACCUACUCCUGUGUGACUGGGAAACGGAACCACCUGCACCUGCUGACCAGAGACCCCAAUCAAUGACCUAGGUUAUGUCUAGUGAUCCAUGUGAGGAGUUUCCUCAUAAUUGUGCCUCUAAGCAACCCAUAUCUCUUCUCUGAAAGGUGACCCCACUCUGAUUGCCUAGUUAUUGUUUCCUCGUUCUUUUGAUUGUGUACAGCUACUUGGCAGGUUUUGUGGGACAGGCCAGCCCACAUCAGAGUGACUUGCCCAGAGUCACACAGCUAGGAAGCGUAAGAAAAUAUAUGAUCACUCUUUGGUUUUGACCCUAAUGCAUUCAUCAUUUCCUUCUUUUCCUUAAUUUGACUUGAUA